rnacentral:lncRNA from 1 species
AGAGCUUAUGAGGGGAAAUUUCAUCAAGGAUAGGCACACUAUUGUUCCCCAUCAUAAACGGCACUGCGUCAUCGAGUAUUCGAAUGCUAAAGCUGCCGUAGGCAUUGCACAAGGCGCUGGUCCAUCUUCUCAUUCAGACGACGAGGACGAGGAUGACGAGGCGGAGCCCACUGCUUCACCUGAGCUAGCCCUCACAUACCCUGAUGCACCACUCACACAACACCAUUUUGAU